AUGUCAGUUUUUAAACUUCCAAAAGGGAUCUGCAAAUCUAUUACUGAUGAGAUUGCGGGAUUUUGGUGGGGUGAUAAGGAGGAGAAAAAGAAAAUGCAUUGGUUUGCAUGGUGGAAGAUGUGUGUUCCAAAGAAAAAAGGUGGUAUGGGCUUCAGGGACCUUCACAGUUUUAACCUUGCUAUGUUAGCAAAACAGUGUUGGCGACUGCUCCAGAAUCCAGACUCUUUGGGUGCACGUGUUCUUAGUGCAAAAUAUUAUCCCGACGGAAACAUCCUGAAUGCGGGACCGAAGAAGGGUUCUUCUUACACUUGGCAGAGCAUUGUCCCAGGUAUCCAAACCUUUAAACGGGGUUGCAUUUGGCGUGUUGGCACGGGAUCAAAAAUCAACAUUUGGCAAGAUCCCUGGAUACCAUCAAGUGAAACUCAAAAAGUAAUAACACCAAGGGGUGAUACACUACUGGGAAAAGUUGAAGAAUUAAUUGAUCCACACACUGGACAGUGGGACGUUGACCUUAUUCAAUCAAUUUUUUCGCCGGUGGAUGUUCAUCGAAUCCUCCAAAUACCUCUUCGAGUGGAAGUGUUAGAGGAUUUUCUUGCAUGGAGUGGUACUCGAUCAGGGACGUUCUCUGUUCGGUCGGCCUAUCAUGUGGAAUUUGAACAUUAG
rnacentral:rRNA from 1 species